rnacentral:rRNA from 1 species
CCUACGGGUGGCAGCAGUGAGGAAUAUUGGUCAAUGGGCGCGAGCCUGAACCAGCCAAGUCGCGUGAGGGAUGAAGGUUCUAUGGAUCGUAAACCUCUUUUAUAAGGGAAUAAAGUGUGGGACGUGUCCUAUUUUGCCUGUACCUUAUGAAUAAGGAUCGGCUCACUCCGUGCCAUCAGCCGCGGUAAUACGGGGGAUCCGAGCGUUAUCCGGAUUUAUUGUGUUUAAAGGAGGCGUAGGCGGCCUUUUAAGUCUGCUGGGAAAGUCUGUGGCUCACCCCUACAAUUGCAGUGGAAACUGGGGAGCUUGAGUACGUUUGAGGAAGGCGGAAUGCGUGGUGUAGCGGUGAAAUGCUUAGAUAUCACGCAGAACCCCGAUUGCGAAGGCAGCCUGCUAAGCUGUGACUGACGCUGAUGCACGAAAGCGUGGGGAGCAAACAGGAUUAGAUACCCGAGUAGUC